GGCCUCCGCUUUCCAUUUUACCGCCUCAAAAAUUUAACCCAGCAUAAAUAAAUAAAUUUGAAAUUAUUUCCUCGCCGACUCCUUUCUCUCCGUCCGAAGAAAGAGAAAAGAGGAGACGCUCCUCCCUCUUGUCCCAUUCCGUAUCCCACCCCUCUCCUUCCUUCCUCUCUCUCGCGCCGUGAUUCCAAGAAUUCUGGGAUUAGAGUAAGGCUUAGGGUGAGGGUUAGGGUUUGGGAGAUGGGGCAGCAGACGCUGAUCUACAGCUUCGUGGCCCGGGGGGCGGUGAUCCUGGCGGAGUACACGGAAUUCACCGGCAACUUCACCAGCAUCGCCUCCCAAUGCCUCCAGAAGCUCCCAGCCAGCAAUAACAAGUUCACCUACAACUGCGACAGCCACACCUUCAACUUCCUCGUCGAGGACGGAUUCACAUACUGUGUGGUUGCAGUUGAGUCAGCUGGCAGGCAAAUUCCAAUUGCCUUUUUGGAGAGGGUUAAGGAAGACUUUAAGAAAAGAUAUGGUGGGGGAAAAGCUGCAACUGCUUCAGCUAACAGCCUCAACCGUGAAUUUGGGCCCAAAUUAAAAGAGCACAUGCAGUAUUGUGUGGACCAUCCGGAGGAGAUCAGCAAGCUGGCAAAAGUGAAAGCUGAGGUUUCGGAAGUCAAAGGAGUUAUGAUGGAAAACAUUGAGAAGGUUCUAGAACGCGGGGAAAAAAUUGAACUCCUCGUUGACAAGACAGAGAAUCUUCGCUCACAGGCUCAAGAUUUCAGGCAACAUGGGACAAAGAUGAGGAGGAAGAUGUGGUUGCAGAAUAUGAAGAUAAAACUUAUUGUCUUGGGCAUUAUCAUUGCGCUAAUCCUCAUCAUAAUAUUGUCAGUUUGUCAUGGCUUCAAAUGCACAUGAGACCAUGCACACCUCCACUCCCCUUCUGAGUGAGGGUAUAGUAUCUUUUACUGCCAGUACUAUAUAAACGUUGGUGCUUUUGUGAUAGACUAGUGUUGUGUUCUCCCCUAUGAACCCUAUCCUAUUUCAUAGUCUCUCUGGAAUUGUGAUGGGAAUGCUUAUGUAUUUCAGAUCUGUGCAUGUAUAGACUAUACAGGAGUAUUUCAGAUCUGUGCAUGUAUAGACUAUACAGGAGUAUUUAUUGUGAUAGAAGUACAGGAGGGUCUUGUUCUAUUUGA